AAAGUUUUAAGUUAAAAAAACUAUUAGCCUUCAAAGCUGAAAUUAAGAUUUCUUAGACUUUA
rnacentral:tRNA from 1 species